rnacentral:rRNA from 1 species
CCUACGGGCGGCAGCAGUGGGGAAUAUUGGACAAUGGGCGAAAGCCUGAUCCAGCCAUGCCGCGUGUGUGAAGAAGGCCUUCGGGUUGUAAAGCACUUUCAGUGGGGAAGAAAGCCUUGGGGCUAAUACCCUCGAGGAAGGACAUCACCCACAGAAGAAGCACCGGCUAACUCCGUGCCAGCAGCCGCGGUAAUACGGAGGGUGCGAGCGUUAAUCGGAAUUACUGGGCGUAAAGCGCGCGUAGGCGGUCUGAUAAGCCGGUUGUAAAAGCCCCGGGCUCAACCUGGGAACGGCAUCCGGAACUGUCAGGCUAGAGUGCAGGAGAGGAAGGUAGAAUUCCCGGUGUAGCGGUGAAAUGCGUAGAGAUCGGGAGGAAUACCAGUGGCGAAGGCGGCCUUCUGGACUGACACUGACGCUGAGGUGCGAAAGCGUGGGUAGCAAACAGGAUUAGAUACCCGAGUAGUC